rnacentral:rRNA from 1 species
GACGAACGCUGGCGGCGUGCUUAACACAUGCAAGUCGAACGGAAAGGCCCUGCUUUUGUGGGGUGCUCGAGUGGCGAACGGGUGAGUAACACGUGAGUAACCUGCCCUUGACUUUGGGAUAACUUCAGGAAACUGGGGCUAAUACCGGAUAGGAGCUCCUGCUGCAUGUUGGGGGUUGGAAAGUUUCGGCGGUUGGGGCUGGACUCGCGGCUUAUCAGCUUCUUUGUGGGGUAGUGGCUUACCAAGGGUUUGAGGGGUAGCCGGCCUGAGAGGGUGACCGGCCACAUUGGGACUGAGAUACGGCCCAGACUCCUACGGGCGGCAGCAGUGGGGAAUCUUACACAAUGGGCGGAAGCGUGAUGCAGCAACGCCGCGUGCGGGAUGACGGCUUUCGGGUUGUAAACCACUUUCGCCUGUGACGAAGCGUGAGUGACGGUAAUGGGUAAAGAAGCCCCGGCUAACUACGUG